rnacentral:rRNA from 1 species
GAUGAACGCUGGCGGCGUGCCUAAUACAUGCAAGUCGAGCGAACGGACGAGAAGCUUGCUUCUCUGAUGUUAGCGGCGGACGGGUGAGUAACACGUGGAUAACCUACCUAUAAGACUGGGAUAACUUCGGGAAACCGUAGCUAAUACCGGAUAAUAUUUUGAACCGCAUGGUUCAAAAGUGAAAGACGGUCUUGCUGUCACUAUAGAUGGAUCCGCGCUGCAUUAGCUAGUUGGUAAGGUAACGGCUUACCAAGGCAACGAUGCAUAGCCGACCUGAGAGGGUGAUCGGCCACACUGGAACUGAGACACGGUCCAGACUCCUACGGGAGGCAGCAGUAGGGAAUCUUCCGCAAUGGGCGAAAGCCUGACGGAGCAACGCCGCGUGAGUGAUGAAGGUCUUCGGAUCGUAAAACUCUGUUAUUAGGGAAGAACAUAUGUGUAAGUAACUGUGCACAUCUUGACGGUACCUAAUCAGAAAGCCACGGCUAACUACGUG